rnacentral:rRNA from 1 species
AGCGAACGCUGGCGGCAGGCUUAACACAUGCAAGUCGAACGGGCGUAGCAAUACGUCAGUGGCAGACGGGUGAGUAACGCGUGGGAACAUACCUCUUGGUUCGGAACAACACAGGGAAACUUGUGCUAAUACCGGAUAAGCCCUUACGGGGAAAGAUUUAUCGCCGAGAGAUUGGCCCGCGUCUGACUAGCUAGUUGGUAGGGUAAUGGCCUACCAAGGCGACGAUCAGUAGCUGGUCUGAGAGGAUGAUCAGCCACAUUGGGACUGAGACACGGCCCAAACUCCUACGGGAGGCAGCAGUGGGGAAUAUUGGACAAUGGGCGCAAGCCUGAUCCAGCCAUGCCGUGUGAGUGAUGAAGGCCCUAGGGUUGUAAAGCUCUUUUGUACGGGAAGAUAAUGACGGUACCGUAAGAAUAAGCCCCGGGCUAACUUCGUGCCAGCAGCCGCGGUAAU